AAAUGGGGUUGUCAUUUUGAUCUUUUAACUCUUGAGUGGAAGAGUUUUUGGCUCUGAUACCACUUGUAGCCCAGAUAGACAACCCAAGAGGGGGGGUGAAUUGGGUUUUAAAAUAAUUUAGAUAAUUAAAACGAUGUGGUUGAUUAAUUAAAAACUAUUGCAAGUUAUUUAAUUAAUGCUAAGUGCUGUGAGUGAUGUGAGGGGAAGAAGAAGAGAGACAAUCCAAUGCAAACACAGAGUUUUAUAGUGGUUCGGAGCUACCCCUUGCUCCUACGUCUACUCCCCAAGUCUCUCUUGGGAAUUCACUAUAACCCCCUUGGAUUACAGCCGGUUGUUUUGCAAGCUCACAACCAAACUUAUUGUUUUACGAGCUCACAACGAACUCGGUCGGUUUUCCCAGGCUCACCGACUAGAACCAACCCCGAUUGUUUUUCCGGGCUCACAAUCAAACCCUUACACACGUUGGUUUUUAACUUGGCUCACCAACCAACCUUAAUCCCCUUGAUUCAAUCCCCCGAUUGAACCAAGUAAAUACAAGUUAUAGAAAGAAAGGAAAAUAAGCUUCUCAAAAGCAGAUGUA
rnacentral:lncRNA from 1 species